AUUGAACGCUGGCGGCAUGCCUUACACAUGCAAGUCGAACGGCAGCACGGGAGCAAUCCUGGUGGCGAGUGGCGAACGGGUGAGUAAUAUAUCGGAACGUGCCCAGUCGUGGGGGAUAACGUAGCGAAAGCUACGCUAAUACCGCAUACGAUCUAUGGAUGAAAGCGGGGGAUCGCAAGACCUCGCGCGAUUGGAGCGGCCGAUACCAGAUUAGGUAGUUGGUGAGGUAAAGGCUCACCAAGCCGACGAUCUGUAGCUGGUCUGAGAGGACGACCAGCCACACUGGGACUGAGACACGGCCAGACUCCUACGGGAGGCAGCAGUGGGGAAUUUUGGACAAUGGGCGCAAGCCUGAU
rnacentral:rRNA from 1 species